ACACACACACACACACACACACACACACACAUACACACUUAGACACAGAGGGAGACAGCUCAUGUCAGCCUGAAAAGCCUGAAAAACUGAACGGAUGUGUUUGGCGGUAAACAGCGGUCUUGUUGAUGCAUGAGGGCGCAGGCGAAGCGCAAGGAUACAGUGACACCUGUCGUCUCCUGCAAGAGCCUCGUUUCAGGCGGAGGAGCAGGAUGUUCACAGAGACGAGGACAACUCAGUGGGUAAGAGCCCAUUUUGGCGAGGAGGAGAGAUGAUCCACAGGUCCUCAUGACGAACACCAGACCACGUGUUCAUCCGCCUGACAGAGGCCACUGUGAGAUGGGGAUUUAUAGCUCUCAUCAUCAUCAUCAUCAUCAUCAUCAUCAUCAUCAGACUUCACGGUCAGUAUUAGAGACACACGGGCAGCCUCAGCCCUGUGAUAAUAUCGAGCCUUGAAUUCGCCAGCAGGGGGCGGUGUUGCACUGGAGCAGAGACAGCUCAGGACAAUGAGAUGUAUGUAACUGUGGCCUUCGGCUCUUUAUUUCAAAUGCUCUGAUACAUGAAAAAUAACACCUGAGAUCACCCUCAGCUCCCCAAAUAAAAGAACAGAUUUUAGGAAUAAAGGGGGUGACAAUGAAACGACACCUGAAACCUUGGAAAGGCAACAAAAGUUGUGUAUUCACAUGACACAGUGGAUAUGAAACACACAAAGACAGGAGAGGGCCAGUCUGUUUGCUUCCACAUAUGAUUCUCAGGAGAAUUUGUAAGUUUGUUUUCUGCACGAAAUGUUCUAACCCUAACCCUUUUCAAACAACAAUAGUGUAUAUCUUUGGAGGCAUGUUCAGAUGAUCAGCUUCUGUAAUUUUGCCAGUUUUUGCCCCUGACUCUGAUUUAGCUGAUGGUGAAUGCACGCUGCAGCACAAACAAGACCAACAUCAUUAAUAAGAUGGGAACGUCCGCAAGUGUUGACAGUCACAAUCCAUUUUUCCUUUCCUGGUGGAAAUGGGCCUCCGUAUCAGUAAGAUGUGUUUUAAACGGGAGCCACCUGAUAACUUCAACAAAACCAAACCUCUUCAGCCUUUUUAAUCUCACAUUUGAUGUUUUGUCACAUAGUUGGGACUUUUUAUCGCACAAUUUUCACCUUCUUCUCAUAAUUUUGAGGUUUUUUUAAUCGCAUACCAUGGAAAUAUUUUGUGUCAUGUUUUCUUUAACUGGUGGAGAUGUGCUUCUAUAAUAGAGAUGUGCUUCACUUCUCCUUCAGCGAGUAUGAAAAAUGAGGAACCCGUUAACUUCAACAGAACAAACCCUGUUGUUGAAUAUGUUCUGUGUUUCAGUCGACCUUGGUGACAUACAUGCACGCAACACAUGAUAAAUUUGUAAAUAUUUAUCGGUUUAUUACAGUUAAAAAGAUGUAUGUACAUACAGAACAUCACCGAACAUGGUCAUUUUCACUCAUUUGCAAAGUAGUACUCUGCAACUAGUCGGUUUCAGGAUAACUGUCUUACAAUGGGGCGGCAUUGAUUAAGUUUGUCAUUUACAACCAAGCAGACGAGUCAGUGUAUUUUUCCUCUUUGUCAUUUGCCAAAUAAUACUUAGUAACAGGCGUGAAACCAAAAAGAAACGACGGGAGGUUGCUUGGUAAAAACAAAUCGAUGCUGAAUUGCUGGUCCAAUUCCAAGUUCCUGCUGCCAACACGCGGCUUUGUAUGUACACAGGUAGAAACACCUCAGACUGGAUCUUGGUCACUGUGGUUAGCAAUGAAGACUCACAUAGAGGUAGUCAUGUCCGCAUCUGCUCAUCCAGUCGUGAGACAACUGACCCAAAACCUUUUUGCUCUCAGCUCCUGCUCAAUCUGUGGACCCAGACCCCUUUACUGACAUUAGAGAAGAAAAAGUGAUUAUCUGUCUUUGUUGAUGGAAUCAAACGGUCAUAAAGGUUCUGCUUGGUGCGCAUAAGGCAGUCAAGUAAAUGUAUGGAGAUACUAGAGCGCGGGUCUGUGUGUGUGUCUGUGGGAUUCAGGGUUUCAGGAGAAAAAGCUGGCGGCUUCACAUUAAAGGGCCAUUCCACCAAAAUGGACUUGGUUUGAUUACAAAAAGCGGACAUUUAUGCGGUGAUGUUCUAUGAGGAUGAAGAACAUGUGAUCCAUCAACAUCGGCCCUUUUCUGAAAAUGUGACUUUCAUUCCCUCUAUCCAAAGUGGAUAAUUCCUGAUACAAACGUGGUAAAAAAAAAAAAUAAAUAAAAUAAAUAUAUAACAAUUUUAACUAUAUCAGACUAUUAAAAAUGAUGUGUCAUAAAUGUGUUUCCUCUCAUCUUGAAAUCUCGAUUCUGACCUGAUAUGAUUUGUGGAAAACAACAGGUGAAAAACAAAACAAUGAUCCUCUGUUGGAAUAGCCAAAAUAAAAAAAAAAGCAAGCCAGUUUUUGGUGGAAUUCCCCUUUAAUGCCAAAGACAAGUGAGACGCAAGCUAAUGCACAUCCACUUGGUAGCAUAAUGGCAUUAUUUUCCAUUGCACUCUUUGUCUUUUUGUAAAACUCUCAUCACAUUACAGAUUUGUAAUACUGAGUCUACUGUAACGUCAGAUUACUGUACAGAGUAAAAGGAAAAAAUAAGACAAAGAAACUAGACCCAAAUUUACAUCGUAAUGACCAGUUGCUUGUCAUCAAGUACAGUCAGUGGCCAUAGACACAAGGAAUAGCCAAACAAACACAUAAAAAAAGACCAUUAAGGCUGCUUGU